GAUGAACGCUGGCGGCGUGCCUAAUACAUGCAAGUCGAGCGAACGGACGAGAAGCUUGCUUCUCUGAUGUUAGCGGCGGACGGGUGAGUAACACGUGGAUAACCUACCUAUAAGACUGGGAUAACUUCGGGAAACCGGAGCUAAUACCGGAUAAUAUUUUGAACCGCAUGGUUCAAAAGUGAAAGACGGUCUUGCUGUCACUUAUAGAUGGAUCCGCGCUGCAUUAGCUAGUUGGUAAGGUAACGGCUUACCAAGGCAACGAUGCAUAGCCGACCUGAGAGGGUGAUCGGCCACACUGGAACUGAGACACGGUCCAGACUCCGACGGGAGGCAGCAGUAGGGAAUCUUCCGCAAUGGGCGAAAGCCUGAAGGAGCAACGCCGCGUGAGUGAUGAAGGUCUUCGGAUCGUAAAACUCUGUUAUUAGGGAAGAACAUAUGUGUAAGUAACUGUGCACAUCUUGACGGUACCUAAUCAGAAAGCCACGGCUAACUACGUG
rnacentral:rRNA from 1 species